rnacentral:rRNA from 1 species
UAUUAUUCUGAGAUGAAUUUAUCCCUAGGUUAGUAAUAGAUAUUUACUUAAAAACCAAAAAAUUUGGCGGUAAUUUAAUCUUUUCAGAGGAACUUGUUUUUUAAUCGAUAAACCGCGAAGUAUCUUGCUUGCUUUUGUAAUAGUUUGUAUACCGUCAUUAUCAGGUAAUUUCAAAAGAAUAAAUUAUUAAGAUUAAGAAGUUAACAAAAUUAGAUCAUGGUGCAGCUAAUAAGCAAGUAAAAAUGAGUUACAAUAAAUUUUUUAUAUGAAUAAGUAAGAGAAUUAUUAUUUAGAAAGAGGAUUUGAUUGUAUUUAAGGUUUAAUAUGCUUUAAAGAUGGGAGCUCUAAAUUAUGUACAUAU